rnacentral:rRNA from 1 species
UACGUAGGGUGCGAGCGUUAAUCGGAAUUACUGGGCGUAAAGCGUGCGCAGGCGGCUUUUUAAGCCAGAUGUGAAAUCCCCGGGCUUAACCUGGGAACUGCAUUUGGAACUGGAAGGCUAGAGUGCGGCAGAGGGGGGUAGAAUUCCACGUGUAGCAGUGAAAUGCGUAGAGAUGUGGAGGAAUACCGAUGGCGAAGGCAGCCCCCUGGGAUAACACUGACGCUCAUGUACGAAAGCGUGGGUAGCAAACAGG